ACUAAAUGCUUUUCAUCUGUUUCCUUAACCUACCACUUCAAAGCAUUACAUUCUGCCAAUGUUUUGGAUGUAUGGUUACUUGACCCAGGUUAUGGAAACCUUUGAUAGAGUAUGGAUUAAUUUCAGUGAGGUUGAAUGUAAGUUUUUAAUCCAUGUAUGGUGACUUGACCAAGUUAUGGAUGCCUUGAAUAGAAAUGUUACUGUUAUCAAACAAACUGUAUACAAAACGUUUGAUUUAUGUUUCUCAUCAAAACAUAUAUAAAUCAUGUAGAACUCUUACAGCUUUGAGGGAUGUUACAUCUAUAAGUUUCAGUCAUUUUAAGAAGUAAGAAAUAAGUUAUGUUUUGUCUGGAACACUAUGAACGCGUCAUCAACCACGUGGUGAAGAAGAACGUUGCCAUUUUGUGUUGAAUGCGUGUGGACCUGGGGAGAUAUCUUUCAAGUUUUUUCUGUAGGUAUAGGUAAUUGGUGUUGAGACAGUUGGGUUGAGACGGGCUUCUGCUUCAAGCAUUGUUCCUAAGGCUCUGUAGAAAUUUGAUAUGGCAGUGUAAGGGGUGUUCCGUUGCAGUAGCUAGUAGCAUCACCAUCAUUACAUGAUUCUUCAGCUGAUUGCCAGGAUGAGGAGUUUGUGGAAGAGGAAGUUUCUGUUGCACCCCUAGAUAAAUGCAGAAUUUAAGCGCAUUACCACCAUGCCCCUGCAAUCCAGAUUUCUGACACAGCUGGAUGUAAGAUCUGACAAACUUCUAAAGCUGUUCGAAAAACGAGGAGGACAGAUAGGCAAGCGUCUUGAGAGAACUUUGGCCCCCAUGACUCAAGAAGAUUACGUUGAUGCAGGGCGGGAAUGUGUUCUCAAGUGGCUGUGUGUGUACCUCAACGAAGACCCAGCAAAUCUUGUCAGGGAGUUCGUGGCAGAAGACGAAGCCGCCAUCAAAGAAUCGAUUGAGGACACCACGGUGGGAAUAUUUGUCGUGAAAAAUGAUGCAACCAGUGGUCCAGAGGACGUGGGGAUUGUCCUGGAAGGCCUGCAGAUAAUGCAAGGACUGGACAACACUGCAUUAGCUGCUGCCAUAUUGUUUGGCCUAAUGUAUGUAUUGAACCUCAACUACCCUCCUGAGCUAAAGAACAUGUUUGAAGUGCGCCAAAAAGUUGUGAUGGAGCUGGACGGCACCACGCUCUCAAAGAAAGCCCAAGUUCUCAAAAACAGACUGAGUGAGCUGUUGUCCUAACCCUGCUCAUUGACUUGAUUCUGGACUGUACACAUGCAACUUUGUGGUUCUUUGUUCUUGUUCUUGCAGUAUUUACAUACAGCAUGUCUACUGUAUUAUCAAAUGAAUGUUUUCUCUGGAGCUCAUGCGUUCCCAAAAUGUGACUCGGAUUUGCUGUUUUCUCUUAAAGUAAUAGAGCUGCUGAAUGAGCAGUUGCCAUGGACUAUGUUUGCUCUGUGAAUGCACUUGUCUUUUGACAUGCACUCAUGCAGCUUUAGUUUUUCCUUCAUUCUUUUGGCAGUACUUAGAUUCUUGGAAGAAUUACAUUUUUCGUAGUAUUAAUGAUGUUUGUCUAGGGUCUACUCAUUGUUUGUGCGGUGAUUCAUUCAAAACACUGGCAGUACUUUUUUAUUUUAUUUUAUUAGAAUUUUAUGCAAAGUAAAAAAAAACAUAAUGCAACCUAACAUGUUUUGGGAUUUCAGUGUUAAAAAUGUCUAGUGUUUUCCAAAAAUGUCCAAACUAUUGCUAUUUGAAGGUGGAGUCAGCGAUUAAGGGGAAUUCUUGUUGUCAAAAUCAGUGAAUAUCUCAUGAUGCACUACCUGUCCGUACUUAUGUGCUAUAAAUCCUUUGUUAGUGCUCAGCCUCUGUAAACCAAGGACCUAUGGACAUGCAAUUUGUAGGCAGGACAAGCAUUCUCCAGAGUCAGCUCUAAGUUUUACAUGCCUAACACUGGCUGUGCUAUUUUAUUUUAUUUCAUUUUAAUCGACCAAAGUAAUGGGAUUUCAGUGUUAAAUGUUGUAUUGGGAUUUCAAGCUUUGGGAUUUCAGUGUUAAAUGUAGUAUUUGAAAGAAAUACAAUAGAAAGUUGGUUAUUUGUGCCUUAUUUAGUCUCAUACUUACUUGAGCAGUAAGUAUGAGACUAAACAUUUAGUCUCAUACUUUUUCAACUUUUUUUUUUACAUGUUUUGAAAGAUGAAUCACAUUAUUUUCUGUCCAUAUACUGUUAUAUUACAUCAAAUAUAAAUUAUUUUACAACCUUUUUCCAUUAAAAACCAGCUAAGAACAGCAAAUUUCUGUCCAUUUAAUCAGUAUUAUUCGUAAUACAACAUUUAUUUACCAUAUUUCUAGGUAAUUUCAUCGUUUUAAAAUGUGAAUGUUUCUAAUUAAACAUUAAAAACAACAUGAAAAUAAGGCAAAAUCUUGUUAAAAUUACAACUUUAAACUGUUUUAAAAUGUGA